CCUGGCUCAGAUUGAACGCUGGCGGCAUGCCUUACACAUGCAAGUCGAACGGCAGCGGACCUUCGGGUGCCGGCGAGUGGCGAACGGGUGAGUAAUAUAUCGGAACGUACCUUUCAGUGGGGGAUAACGUAGCGAAAGUUACGCUAAUACCGCAUAUUCUGUGAGCAGGAAAGCAGGGGGAUCGCAAGACCUUGCGCUGAUUGAGCGGCCGAUAUCAGAUUAGCUAGUUGGUGAGGUAAAGGCUCACCAAGGCGACGAUCUGUAGCGGGUCUGAGAGGAUGAUCCGCCACACUGGAACUGAGACAGGUCCAGACUCCUACGGGAGGCAGCAGUGGGGAAUUUUGGACAAUGGGCGCAAGCCUGAUCCAGCCAUGCCGCGUGAGUGAAGAAGGCCUUCGGGUUGUAAAGCUCUUUCGGCCGGGAAGAAAUCGCACAGGUUAAUACCCUGUGUGGAUGACGGUACCGGAAUAAGAAGCACCGGCUAACUACGUG
rnacentral:rRNA from 1 species